AGCGAGCUGAAUUCAAAGAUUCCUUCGGGAUGAUUUGUUGGACGCUAGCGGCGGAUGGGUGAGUAACACGUGGGCAAUCUGCCCUAAAGACUGGGAUACCACUUGGAAACAGGUGCUAAUACCGGAUAACAACAUGAAUCGCAUGAUUCAAGUUUGAAAGGCGGCGUAAGCUGUCACUUUAGGAUGAGCCCGCGGCGCAUUAGCUAGUUGGUGGGGUAAAGGCCUACCAAGGCAAUGAUGCGUAGCCGAGUUGAGAGACUGAUCGGCCACAUUGGGACUGAGACACGGCCCAAACUCCUACGGGAGGCAGCAGUAGGGAAUCUUCCACAAUGGACGCAAGUCUGAUGGAGCAACGCCGCGUGAGUGAAGAAGGUUUUCGGAUCGUAAAGCUCUGUUGUUGGUGAAGAAGGAUAGAGGCAGUAACUGGUCUUUAUUUGACGGUAAUCAACCAGAAAGUCACGGCUAACUACGUGCCAGCAGCCGCGGUAAUACGUAGGUGGCAAGCGUUGUCCGGAUUUAUUGGGCGUAAAGCGAGCGCAGGCGGAAUGAUAAGUCUGAUGUGAAAGCCCACGGCUCAACCGUGGAACUGCAUCGGAAACUGUCAUUCUUGAGUGCAGAAGAGGAGAGUGGAAUUCCAUGUGUAGCGGUGGAAUGCGUAGAUAUAUGGAAGAACACCAGUGGCGAAGGCGGCUCUCUGGUCUGCAACUGACGCUGAGGCUCGAAAGCAUGGGUAGCGAACAGGAUUAGAUACCCUGGUAGUCCAUGCCGUAAACGAUGA
rnacentral:rRNA from 1 species